UGGGGAAUCUUCCGCAAUGGACGAAAGUCUGACGGAGCAACGCCGCGUGAGUGAUGACGGCCUUCGGGUUGUAAAGCUCUGUUAAUCGGGACGAAUGGUUCUUGUGCGAAUAGUGCGAGGAUUUGACGGUACCGGAAUAGAAAGCCACGGCUAACUACGUGCCAGCAGCCGCGGUAAUACGUAGGUGGCAAGCGUUGUCCGGAAUUAUUGGGCGUAAAGCGCGCGCAGGCGGAUCAGUUAGUCUGUCUUAAAAGUUCGGGGCUUAACCCCGUGAUGGGAUGGAAACUGCUGAUCUAGAGUAUCGGAGAGGAAAGUGGAAUUCCUAGUGUAGCGGUGAAAUGCGUAGAUAUUAGGAAGAACACCAGUGGCGAAGGCGACUUUCUGGACGAAAACUGACGCUGAGGCGCGAAAGCCAGGGGAGCGAACGGGAUUAGAUACCCCGGUAGUCCUGGCCGUAAACGAUGGGUACUAGGUGUAGGAGGUAUCGACCCCUUCUGUGCCGGAGUUAACGCAAUAAGUACCCCGCCUGGGGAGUACGACCGCAAGGUUG
rnacentral:rRNA from 1 species